rnacentral:rRNA from 1 species
UACGUAGGGAGCAAGCGUUGUCCGGAUUUAUUGGGCGUAAAGAGCUCGUAGGCGGCUUAGCAAGUCAGGUGUGAAACCUCCAGGCUCAACCUGGAGACGCCACUUGAUACUGCUAUGGCUUGAGUUUGGUAGGGGAAGACGGAAUUCCUGGUGUAGCGGUGAAAUGCGCAGAUAUCAGAGAGGAACACCGAUGGCGAAGGCAGUCUUCUGGGCCAAAACGUGACGCUGAGGAGCGAAAGCGUGGGGAGCAAACAGG